UAGGAGUAAAAAGAGGAAGAGUGCACUCGGGGAAGCUGCAUGAUUACCUGGCAUCUGAACAUGGAACAUUAAGAAAAUAACUUCCUUGUUUGAGAUUGUUCCAGUCUCACUUCCUCAUUGGGCAGAGUACCUUUUUACAUCUAUGGGGUCUUUUAGUGUCUGGAAAACAGGCUUUUAUGAUGAGUGAUUUCAUUCUUACGCUCCAUUUAUCACUAUUUUAUCUUACUAAAAUGCAGAACAACAAAAAAGCAAUCUAAAUAUACAGACUCAGCAUGUAUUUUUAAAAGAAAUAAAUACACUUUCUUGGAA